AGAGGCCCGCCGCGGUAACGACGGGUAACGGGGAAUCAGGGUUCGAUUCCGGAGAGGGAGCCCGAGAAACGGCUACCACUUCCAAGGAAGGCAGCAGGCGCGCAACUUACCCUAAUCUCGAUUCGAGGAGGUAGUGACAAGAAAUACCGAUGCGGGACCCUACGGGUGCCGCGUUCGGAAUGAGUACGAUUCGAACCACCUAACGAGGAACGAUCGGAGGGCAAGUCUGGUGCCAGCAGCCGCGGUAAUUCCAGCUCCAAUAGCGUACGUUAAAGUUGCUGCAGUUAAAAAGCUCGUAGUUGAACGUUCGGGUUCCGCGGGACGGGGCCGCCCCGCGAGGGACGGCGCCGCCCCGGGGCUCGUGAUAUCUCAUCUCGCCGCCCGUCGCGAGGCGGACGGAGGGAUGGAUGAGGUUACCUGGAAAAAAUCGGGGCGAUCUAGGCGGGCGAACCUCGCCAACGAACGAUCGGACAUGGGAU
rnacentral:rRNA from 1 species